rnacentral:rRNA from 1 species
GACGAACGCUGGCGGCGUGCCUAAUACAUGCAAGUAGGACGCACAGUUUAUACCGUAGCUUGCUACACCAUAGACUGUGAGUUGCGAACGGGUGAGUAACGCGUAGGUAACCUGCCUAUUAGAGGGGGAUAACUAUUGGAAACGAUAGCUAAUACCGCAUAACAGUAUGUAACACAUGUUAGAUGCUUGAAAGAUGCAAUUGCAUCGCUAGUAGAUGGACCUGCGUUGUAUUAGCUAGUAGGUAGGGUAAUGGCCUACCUAGGCGACGAUACAUAGCCGACCUGAGAGGGCGAUCGGCCACACUGGGACUGAGACACGGCCCAGACUCCUACGGGAGGCAGCAGUAGGGAAUCUUCGGCAAUGGGGGGAACCCUGACCGAGCAACGCCGCGUGAGCGAAGAGUUUUCGGAUCGUAAAGCUCUGUUGUUAAGGAAGAACGAGUGUGAGAAUGGAAAGUUCAUACUGGAC